rnacentral:lncRNA from 1 species
AUGUAUAUUAGUUCCCAUUUAUAACCAUUUUAUCCACUUGAAUUACGAGAAAAACGAAAUAAAAAUAUAUAAAAAAUAAAAGUGCUUUCGUAAACUAGCGCUUCCUAUAAAAUGCGCUGCCGCAGGCUAUAAUUAGUAAACAAAUACUCAAACCUCUCAACACCGCAGGGCGUAUUCAAUGACAUUACUUGUAGAGAUGACAGCUCACUGGGAGGAGCUUCUGCACACUCGAUGACCCCUGACGUCACAGGGCAUUGUUUCGCCGGUGUGACUGGCAACAAAAUACUACAAAUUACGUCAUAGGGUAUGAUCACGUGUUUGAAAAGUUUGUGGUACUGUAUUCUAAAGGUAGGCCAAUAUUUUUAUUAAUAGUAAUGAAGAGGUAAGUGUGCAAUAUAUUUCUAUGCGUUACUCAAAUUUAUUGAAAUUAUUACCAAUAGUAACACUAACAUUAACAGAUGUGUUUGAUAAUACAUAUUCUGUGAAACAUACAUGAGAAAUCUUUUCAAUAAAUGAGAUACUGAAAUUAGCAAAAUGAAAUUAUUUCCUUUCAGACUGGAGAUUUGAAGUCUAUUGAGAAGAGACAUCAACUUUUGAAUUCCAAUCAUGUCCUGGCUUGCAGUGUUGUCAUUGAUCACCAUGCCUACUUCAGUGGUCUAGUCAGUGCUGCUAUGAAGAAAAAGGUAUCUUACAGUCUUUGCAUCAUAAUAGCAGAAUGUGGUGAAGUGGUGAACACACACGGUGAGUGCCCAGCUGGUAAAGGCCCCCAUGGAACCUGCAAACACCUCGCUUCCGUCCUCCUCAUGUUGUCUCAGUUCAAGUCUACAGGUGUGAUUGCUGUGAGGCGAUCCUGCACAGACAGACUGCAGACAUUCCACAGGCCACAAAAGGAAUAUUCAGAUUCACCGAAGAAAGCAGACUCAUUCAAGUGUGGGGCGAAGCGACCAACCAUGUUUGAUGACCCAAGACCGGCAAAAUACAGAAAUAGUGCAUCUUACAGGGACCAUGUCAGAACAUCACCAUCAACUACUGCUCUUCAACGUCUAAGGAUAUCACGAUCAGAUACCUGUUUGAAAGAGCCAGUCUGUCAUCUGCAGUAAGAGAUCAUGACUAUUUGGACAAGCCCUUCACAGGAUACUGGGUGGAGAGAGCCUUGAAGAUUACAGAUGACCAGGCUGCAGACUUAGAGUCAAAGACAAGAAAGCAGGCCAAGUGUAGCUUGUGGCAUGAAGAGAGGAGAUGGAGGUUGACAGCAUCUCAGUUUGGGACAAUUUGCAAAUGCACUACAAGGAGAAACAAAACUAAACUCUGUGAGGCAUGGGUUACAGCAGGAACCCAAAGCUAUUGCCAAACUUGAGAUAGCCUGUAAUGUUCAUGUUCACAGUUGUGGAAUGUUUGUUGACUCUGAACUCCCUUUCCUUGCAGCAACCCCAGACGGUGUCAUUGAUUCUAACACCAUUGUUGAGGUUAAAUGUCCUUACAGUCAUUGCUCCUGGGAAACUCUUUCCUUAUCUUUGUUAGAGAAAUGGCUCAUGCAACUGAGAGAAAACAGUAAUUACUACUUUUAGGUGCAGGGUCAAAUGUAUCUAUCAAAGCGAAAAUACUGCUUAUUUGCUGUUUCUACGUUCAAAGACUUCUUUGUUCAGAAAAUAUCACUCGAUGAGGAAUACUGUACAGGAAGUUUGAUUCCCAGACUGUCAUUAUUCUUUGAGUCUUUCCUCAAGCCUUACAUUGCUACUCACUGCAUUUGUUAAGAUUCACAAACAGACAUCCUUUUGUUGAUUAAUACAUCCAUGUGAAGACUGUAUCUAAAAAG